rnacentral:rRNA from 1 species
AGUGAACGCUGGCGGUAGGCCUAACACAUGCCAGUCGAACGGCAGCACAGUAAGAGCUUGCUCUUACGGGUGGCGAGUGGCGGACGGGUGAGGAAUACAUCGGAAUCUACUUUUUCGUGGGGGAUAACGUAGGGAAACUUACGCUAAUACCGCAUACGACCUACGGGUGAAAGCAGGGGAUCUUCGGCCCUUGCGCGAUUGGAUGAGCCGAUGUCGGAUUAGCUAGUUGGCGGGGUAAAGGCCCACCAAGGCGACGAUCCGUAGCUGGUCUGAGAGGAUGAUCAGCCACACUGGAACUGAGACACGGUCCAGACUCCUACGGGAGGCAGCAGUGGGGAAUAUUGGACAAUGGGCGCAAGCCUGAUCCAGCCAUACCGCGUGGGUGAAGAAGGCCUUCGGGUUGUAAAGCCCUUUUGUUGGGAAAGAAAAGCAGCAGGUUAAUACCCCGCUGUUCUGACGGUACCCAAAGAAUAAGCACCGGCUAACUUCGUG